CCCGCUCCUUCUCUGAAAGAGGAAAAAAAAAACACUGCUGCCCGCUACCGUGUUCAAUGUCAGUAGAGAGUUCUGGACCAAUCACCUUCGUUAUUACACUGACUUGGGAAAAAGGAUAUAUUCACAAUGAAGGAAAUCUGCCAAACGGGUGACUACAGCAGUCCUCAGGUGGUGCAGCAUAGAGAAAAAGCUUCUCCUAACAACAAGUAUG